rnacentral:rRNA from 1 species
GUGAGGAAUAUUGGACAAUGGAUGGAAAUCUGAUCCAGCCAUGCCGCGUGCAGGAAGACGGCCCUAUGGGUUGUAAACUGCUUUUAUACGGGAGCAAUAAGGUCUAUGCAUAGAUUGAUGAGAGUACCGUAUGAAUAAGCAUCGGCUAACUCUGUGCCAGCAGCCGCGGUAAUACGGAGGAUGCGAGCGUUAUCCGGAUUUAUUGGGAUUAAAGGGUGCGUAGGCGGCUUUGUAAGUCAGCGGUGAAAUUUUGCAGCUUAACUGUAAAAGCGCCGUUGAUACUGUGAAGCUAGGAUUUGGUUGCUGUGGGCGGAAUGUGUGGUGUAGCGGUGAAAUGCAUAGAGAUCACAUAGAAUAUCGAUUGCGAAGGCAGCUCACAAAGCCAAUAUUGACGCUGAGGCACGAAAGUGUGGGGAUCAAACAGGAUUAGAAACCCGAGUAGUCC